UUCAAAUCACGUUAGAUGCGAGACGAAUUCCAACAUGGUUGACUUUCAAUUUUAUUUUUGUUGACAUUUGUCAACCUUUCUUUUUAUUGCUUUUCAUAUGAUUAUAUCAGUACUGUGUUGUCCAAAACAACUAAAUCAGUCGAAAUUUUAAUCAGAAAUUUCAAGAUGCACGCUGUACGUCUAUGAUUAAGGGACACGAUUAAAAUUACCUGCUCAAAGUGAUUGAUUAGACAGGUAAACAGCAAAUUGAAGAUCGAUUUUGGGACAGGACACCAUGGCAACACAAAUGAUGUAUUCUCCGAUGCCUGACCACUCAGUUUCUUAUAUGAAUGGAUAUCCUAACAAUAAUGCAUCAAAAAUGGGAAAUGGGAAAAGUUUUGCAUUUAGAAAAAGAUAUGAAAGAGUGGAUUGGAGAAAGAUUUCCUCUGUUGAUCUUGAUCAUAUCUCAAGGACUUUAGAUUUUAAUGCCCUACAGGAAAACAUUUUAAACAUAACAUUUUGCAAUAUAGAAUCUGAAAUGGAUUUGCGGAUGAUUGAUCCAAACUUUGUAAAGCUUUUCAAACUAGCACAGUUGACUAUAGAAUAUUUAUUGCAUUCACAGGAGUAUUUGACAGGUGUCGUAGGAUCUGCUGAAGAGAAAAUCAAAGCUGCUCAAGAGGAAAGUACCAAAACCAAGGAAGAACUAGAAAAGCAGAAGAAAGAACUUGCUGAUGUUAAGAAAGAAAGUCAUAAAAGGAAGAAACUUUUAAUAGCUCAGCAACAUUUAAUACAUGCUGGAUCUGGAAGUUAUAACAAGUGCCAAUAUUGCUCUAAAGCUUUCCUGAAUAGCACAUUUUUACAGUCUCACAUAAUGAGACGCCAUGGGGAGUAUUCUGGGAAAGCAGCAUCUGUAGCUGUUACCCCUAACGACAGACAGAUUAUGGCAGAAUCACCGGGUUUGAGGGAUCUCCAACAGAGAUUGGAGGCUACUGAGGCACAACUGCAACAAGAACGCAUGUCUAAAUCAGAGGUUGUUAGGAAGUCUGAAACAACUUUAACAAGGAAUGUCAUCUCUACAGACCUUAACCGAACUGAGGAACACAAGGAACAGUUAGAAAGAAUGAAAGGCCAGUUUAUGACCGAAAUACGGGAACUGAAUGAAAGACUUCAUGCUGCAGAACUUGCCAAAGAUCAGUUUGACCACAGACAGAGUAAUCGAUCAUUUCUAGGGGAGCUUACGGACGACAAUGAUAUUGAAAGGGAAAACUUAAGAGAUCAAAGAGAACAACUUGCUAUGUUGAAAGAACAGUUACAAGACAAGAUUCAGGUUAUGGAAGGAAAAGUGCAUAGGAAAUUUGGUAAAAAAGAAAAAAAUUACCAGAAGACCAUUCAAGAACUAAAUCGACAACAUGCUGAUGAUCUUAGAAAGUUAAAUGAUGCUCUUCAGAAAACUACCCAUGCUCUUGCUGUCAGUAAAGCACCUCUCAACAAGAGACAACAUGAAGAAAAUGAAGCUUUACUUAGAAGUUCAAGGGAAAUAGAAAUCAAAUUAAGACACAGUGCAGAAGCUGAAACUAUAGAGGAAAUGAUAGCAGCAGAGCAAGCCACAAUGGGAGCCUCAACUAAAGUGACACAGAUGCAUAUGGAACCUAGUGACGAUGAAGAUGAGGAAACAGAACCGGGUACACUUAAUUCUGGAACAGGGACAGGAAGUUAUGGUACAGGGAGACAAUCCAUGAUUAGUACCAUGGGAACUUACAGAAGUGGAGAGAUCACUCUUAAGACACAACAGUUCUUAGAAGAACUACGAAAGAACCCAACACUAAAGAUAAUGAGGGAUGAACUGGAACAACUGUUACAAGAACAGCUCGAGAAAAUAGGUGUUCCACCUGAAACAAGAGGAUUACCAGUGGACAUCUUACGGAAUAAACUACAAAUACUAAGAGGAAGGAGACAAACAACCCAACAGAAAUACCCAGUGUUCUCAGACUUCCGUAGACAGUAUGAUGCUGCAGCAGAAGAACAAGCCAGAGAAAAACUAAAACAAAUGAAGAGAUCUCCUCCACCAGCUCCAAGAAGCCAUAUGCCACCUAGACCUAAUCCUAGUGCUUCAUUACCUCGAUCUCAGCCAUCUGGUGGUACAGCUUCAAUGUUUCUAGCCUCUCCAGCUAGAACACCUGGAACCUCACCACAGAGACCAGGCCCUGGAACUUCACCACAGAGACAACCAAUAUCUAGUCAGCAACGUACACCUCAACCGGUCCAGAGUCAACAACUACCUAAGGCAGCACCUAGAGUGGCAAGUCCACAGAGAACUGGACAGUCAGGUUCUAGUAUUGACUGGACCAGCACACAGUGGGAAUCAGAUGAUGAUGAUGAUGAGAGUGAGAACCAACCGGCAUUCCAGCAAGUACGACAUGUGCCAUCUAGUCCUGCCCGCCAACCACAGCAACAUACACAACCUGUGGCAGCACCUAGGUCACAGGUCAUAAUGUCUAAACCACUGGCAAAUGAUGGUGAUGAUGACUGGGACGACUCAGAAGAUAUGAGUGAACUAGGUCCGAAAGCAAGUACUGCACCUGUGAGAAGGACACCUCAACAACAAAGUUAUGGAAUGUCGACAUCCCCUGCUCAAGGUCAAAAGGUUGCAGAAUUAUCAAGAACUAUUGAGCACCAGUUAGCUGGAAGAAAAGAUAACCAGAAAAGAGCAGGUGCUGUUGACAUCAUGGGACUAGGUAGUCCAUCUAAAUCUUCUAAACAACCAGAUGUUUUGGAUGAUUUUUCUGAUAGUGACUGGGAUGUCUCUCCAGUUGAAGAUGAAUCUCCCCAAAAGAAACAACAACCAGUGAAGUAACCAGCAUCAUCUGUAAGAGGGAGUCAUGCAACUGAUACAUCAAAUACAUAUGGUACCAGUGUAUGGGGAUCAUCAUCAAAAGGUGGCAGUACUGUACCCCCAGCAGGAAGUAAAGAAAGAACAUCAUUCGUCAGUGUAACAGAUGUCAGCUCAGACGAAGAACUCAUGAGGGAUAUAGAAAAUAUAUAGUUGAUAUCAAAAUGCAGAAUUAUUUUUAUUUUUAAA